GGGAUGGCCGCAGGCCACAGGCGCGCCCCUGGCUCUGCCCGCGGCUGUCACCGGGACCCGCGCCUGUCCUGCGGGAUUGGAAGAGGGGAGGGUGGGGAGAAAAGGCGCGACCCAGCAGCUUCCACCCUCGAGAGACCUCAGCUCUGCGCGUAGUCUCCCGCAGGUUUAGUGUCACCUCCCUGCCCUGUCCCCCCACCACCCCCCGUCUGUGUGCCGUGCUGAGGCGGGUGGGCAGGCGGUUCCCAGGUUGUGGGAUGAGCAGUCCCGUUACCGCCCGCUCUUUGAUACGGGUCGCAGGUCAGUUCCCGAAACUGCUCCGAGAAAACCCUCACAACUUUUCCUCCUUGUGCAGAACUUUUUCAGUUUGAAAUACUCCGCUUUCCCCUGUGCUACGAACUGCUAGAAGUCUGCAUAUUAAUGUAAAAACUCUCUCCAAGGAGAAGUAGUACAUAAAAGGUUCCUGUGAAAGGGUUUUAAAAUCCCAAAUCUAGUAGGCGUUAAAAAGUACGUAAACAUUUGUUGGGAAUUUGGACACAAUUUUUCUGCAGUUAGGUGACUUUAUAUGGCAUGCUUUUCCUCCCAUGCAAGUCAUUUUAAGCUGAUUUCACAUUAAAAUAAGUUCUGCUUGCUUGCAACUACUAACAUAUUAUUCGAGGAAGAAGCUGGAAAAAAGUUAAAUCAUUACAGUUCAAGAGAUGAAGCUGCUUUCCCCCUAAAUUUUGAAAUGACAUAACUUUUUUCCUUACAAUUUUACUCUCAAAUACAUGGUGAAAUGUAAAGCAUAAAAUCUUCAGAGAUACAUGCUGACGCAAAUGAAACCCUUCUGUAAAACAUAUGGCGUUCGCAGCCCUCGCUGCAAACUUAAACAUUCUUCAUACAUGUUUAGUAUAAUCCACUGGCAGAUUUGUAAAGUAAUUGCUCAUGUAAAUCACCCAGUAACACAUUUCCCCCUUAAGUUCUUUUGUAGGAUUGUCUGAUAAAGCCCUUUAUGAAUAGAAAAGCAAUAAUUCACAUACAAGAGGUGAACUUGUCGUAUUGAAAAUGGAAGGUAAAAUAUAGUUGCACAAUGAGGCACACACAGUAGGAUCUCUGACACGGGGAAAGGAGAACUGACUGAUUAUGUGUGGGAUUCCCUCUAUACCCUCCUGCAGAAAAUGAGUUCAGAGCAACAGAGAUGUUUAUAUAUGGAAUGCGAAGAAAAGUAAUAUCAGAAUUUAAAGUUUGUUGCAAAGUCUGCCUCGAUACUUUAGUACCGGGGCCAUGCUCAGUAGCACCUCACUCAUAUGCGCACAGAGAACCUUUUCUGACUUCAUAAAUUUACUUUUUCUGAAGCUGCAAAUGCCAUGGCUGAAUCACAGUCGAAGAGACAAAUCGCUUGCACAACUUUCACUGAAUGCAGAAUUCUGAAAAAUGACUCUCAAGCACCAAGGCUACUCAGAGAUUUCUUAAGACUUGAGUGGAAAAGAACUUGGAAACUGGUCGCUUGACUCAGAGAUGAACAGGAUUUACAGGAAACUGGCCAGUGGCUGUUGAUGCAGGAGGGCCUGGACUUGCAAAUUCCUUGGUCAGUGGUCAUGUGCCACAUUCUUCUGAAGACUGGGAGAAAAGCACAAACCUCAACACAGUCAUCUUGGGAUCUGCCUCUGCAAAGAAAAGCAGCAGCCCAGCAGCUGGUGGCCCCCACCUUUUACAUGUAUAAAGGAGAGAUGUUUGAAUGUGCUCCUGAACCAUGUUACAACCAUAACCCUAAAAGAUCUGGGGCACACACACUUGAGUAGGAUCACAGUGUCUUAGAACAUUUUUAAUUUUGAAGAGAAAAAGGUUGAUGAGUUGCUUCUGGACGCUCAUGUCAAGUGUGUGAUGCCAGCUCAGCAGCUGUCACUGUCUUCAAGUUGCAGUAUCUUCAUCUCUGGUGCCCCACCCCAACAGGAUUUGCACACAGCCUUUCAGAGGAGAGGAACAGAUACCUGCAUCAGGAGUACUCAGGGUAGUAAGGUCUUUUAGCACCCAGCGUCAAAGAAAAUAACAACAGCAUGUUGAAUAACUGGUUUGAUGUGUAUGCUUCACAUAGGUUAAUUUAGGUGGAUCAUCACCCUCAUGUUGUACUCUUGUUUCCUAGAAAUGCCCUGAAACAGGCACAUUUAUGGCAU